rnacentral:lncRNA from 1 species
AUGCAACUUGCUUCUAACUUUGAAGUCAUUCUUUUUGUUUCAUGUUAUCUAAUUUGGUGUUCAUAUAAUCCAUUUUAAGAGGGUGCAAACUAAAUUUUUUUUGCUUAGGUACUUAGGAACAUAAAUGAAUUGACAUGGAUAUAUUUUUAUAUACUCUAAUUUUUCCUGCAUUUUUUAUCCUGGCCUUGAUAUGAAUCUUCUUAUAAAGUACUCUUUCGAAGUAUUUUUAGGGUGAACCUUAGAUCAAAUUUUUAUUUUAUAUUUUUAACUUUCUGUGGAAUGUAACUAAAUUUGAUAGGUUUCCACACUCUCUCUAAUUAUUUAUUACCCGAAUAAUGAAAGUAGUGGGCAGCAUCAAAGCUCAUGUGUAGAUGUGGCAAAUGGUAUAUUGAAUUUGGGAAUGUUGACUGUGACAACGGAUUUACAAUAAUUAGGUGACCUUUAUAGUCCAAGUAUUUCGGACAAUCGAUUAGUUUUUAGCUAAUAGAAUGGUGUAUUGACUACUUUAAUUCAAGUUUUUGUUCUCUAUUUAGGCUUUUAAGUAAAUUUCCUCAAUUCAGAACUUCCAUUAAUACUUUUUUCCAUGAUUGGUCACGAAUGAUGUUUGGCAAUGAACAAACUAUGGAUUCUCCUGAUAUGUUGGUUGAUGGUCAAUUAUGAAAGCAUAGUUUUUCUAUAACAACGUUGAGUACUUCUCUUUCUUCUCCUCCUCUCUCCAAAUUUGCACAGAUUUCUCUUUUUGCCUUCUGUUAGAAUCUAUAGAUUCAAUUUUCAAGAGAAAUGGUCGUAAUCUCAAAUUCAUUGUUCGUUAAGCCAAGGUUUGUAAUAUCAUUGUCCUAUUAUCAUGGAGUUAACUAUGCUUUAGAAGGUACUUUUUUUUUAAAUUUGUUUCUUGGAUUUUUUCAUCUAUAUCUCUCUUCUUAAAGGUUGAAAAUAUUGUAAAUAUAAUGUACAAUCGUAGUCUAAAAGUUAAUGGACUUUUCGUCUAUUGAAUUUUUUCUUUUGCCUAAAGAAUAUAAAUAGAAUGUCAACAGAAUACGAAGAGAUUGUGUGGGAUUUUUUUCUUUCUUAUCAUCUUUUGGUAAAAAGAAAAGAUGUAUUAAAUAAAAAGGGACAAGUACAAAAGAAAAUGAUAAAAAUAACAAGGAAAAAAGAAGAUUAAAAUAAACGAAAAGAGAUGGAAGUUCGA